UGUGGGCGGGGUGCAGGGAGUGCGCCGGGCUCCCGCAAGCGUCCCCGCCGGUGACCCGAGGUGCGUCCGGAGCUCUGUUGUGCGCGCUCCGCUCUUUUUCAGCGGCUCCUUUCGAGAGGGGCUUCGGCCGUCUGCUGCCUGCGUGGGCCUUGGGGGCGCCUCGGCUCUUAAAGCUUAGCACUUUCAAUAUUAUCAACCCACUGUCUUCUGGCCUCCAAGAUUUAAGAUGAGAUAUUGUUUGAUAACCUUACUGAGGAUCUCUUAUGGAGUAGGAAGAACAUGGAAUCCAUCUCUCUACCUACACAACAAUUGUACUGGCAGAAAUUGUCUGAAGUAACUACUUUGGAACUACAGGUGCUAUUUGAAUGCUUGCAUCUUUCAGGGAAAAGUGUGGUGGUAAACUGAUGUUAAUUUCAGUCAAUGUCAGCCUUCAGUGUGAUAGCACUACCCGUCUCCUACCCCUCAGCACUGUGGUAGGCAGUCAUAAUUCACAUUCCUGGAGUGACUUGCUGGAGCUAGAGCGGGAAAUAAGAAUCUGGUUCUCAAAAUACUAGAGUUCUGUGCUCUGAUUGCUGAUUGCUUUUGAGUUUUCAAGUGCAGGCAGAAUCUAGCUGCCAUGUUCCAACCCUACCCACUGAAUUGACUUCGAAGGGAUUUAAAGGAACAGCACCUGUUUUGUUUGUUUGGCUUUUCCCCUUUUACCCCAUUUAGGAGCCAGACAUUUAAGAACUAGGACAUUGAAAGGAAACUACUUACAUGGGGGAAAUUAGAAAGACACCAUGUAUAACCAGGAAAAGAUACAGGCUCAGAAAUAACCUGAGACGACCUCAUGGUUUCACCUCAGGCUGACACUCUGUGAUACCCAGCACAAAGACACCUUUCAACAAUUAAAAAAAAAAAAAAAAAAAAGCAACCCCUGGAGAAGAGGGAGAAUCUGACUUUGGGAGUUACCAUAUUAUAAGAUUCAAAUGUCCAUUUUCAAUAAGAAAUCAAAAGGUAUACAAAGAAACAGGAAAGUAUGACCCAUUCAGAGAAAAAAAAGAAAUCAACAGAAAACCAUCCUUGAGAAAGUUUAGAUGUCUAACUUUCUAGACAAAGAAGUUAAAACAACUAUCUUAAGUUCCUCAUUAAGCCAGAAGAAAACAUGGAUGAAAUCUGGAAAAUGAUAUAUUAAAAAAUGAGAAUAUCAUUAAAGAGAAAGAAAUUGUUAAAAAAAAAAAAAGAACUAAAAUGAAAUUCUGGAGUUGAAAAGUACAGUAACAGAUAAAUACAAUAACAAUAAAAAAUUCACUUAGAGGGGUUUAAAAUCAGUCUUGAGCAGGCAGAAAAAAGGAUCAACAAACCUGAAAAUAUUUCUUUCAAACCCUGUUCCUUUUUCCCUCCUUUCUUCCUCUCUAGUUCAAGCCUUGCUUAUCUUAGCCUCCAAAUGUUCUAUUUACUCCCUGUUUUGCCUUCUUUACUUCUACCAGAAUUAAAAAAAAAAAAAAGACAAAAAACUCUGAUGUUGACACUGCCCUCAGAAACCUCUAAGGAUACCUGUGUCUAUAGAUUGAACUUCAUGUUCCUUAGUUUAGCAUUCAGGGAUCUUCCCAUUUUGGCUCCACUUUGCCACGUCAAUCCAUUGAACUUGAGAUAUAAAUUCCAGUCUCCAGGAAAUACAAGGUCUAGAGAAAUAAACUCAGUGACUUCUUGAGGAAGCAACGAUUCAGAUCCAGAAGGUGGGAAAUUUUUCACUUCAACGGGACUGAUUUCUUCAGUAAGCCAGUGUCUUUCAAUUUUAUUUUCUUCAUCGCUAAAUUAAAAAAUACUUAGGGACAUCACAACCAGAUACAAAGUGUGGGUCUGGAUGGAUGCAGAUUUAGGAAAACUAGCUGUGAAAAACAUAUAUUUUGGUCAACAGAAAAUUUAAAUAUAGUUAGGUAUUAAAUGAGAGGAAAAUUUACUAAAAUGACAUUACUGAUUUGGGAAAGCCAGCUAUAAAAAUAUUUUUAGGUUGUCAGAAAAUAUGAAUGUGAUACAGGAAUUAGAUGAGAAGAAAGUUUACUGAAAUGGUAAGGUAGAUGUUAACUGAAUAAAGCAGAUUGCUAAACUGUGAUCUCAUUUUGGAAAACAAUAUGUAGACACACAAAGAGGGAUGUGUAUUAAAGUAUUAACAUUUGUAGUGGGAAUGUGAUGUUUUUAUUUUUUAUUUUAGGUUGUCCCAAUUUUCUACCUUUCUCUAGGACAUACUGAAUGAUUCUGUAAUAAAAUUUUGUAUAUUAAGAUUUAUGUAAAUAUUGGGGGUAUACAUGAGAAUCAAGAAAUACAUGAAUGUAUGGUCACCAAAAUAUUAAAAGUGGUUUUGUCAGGAUUUCAGAGGAUUUUACUUUCUUUAUAACAUUAUAUCUAUUAUUUGAAUACUUUAAAAUGGGUGUGUAUUAUUAUAUAACUGUAAAGGAGAAAAGGAACAAUGCUACUUUCCUGUGGGAGUGCAGCCAAGUCUAUUGAAAUAGACAAGUCACAAAGAGGACUGCAACAGCACAGCUUUUUUUUUUUUUUUUUCCUGUGGUUGAUUUGGAUGUAAAAUCUACAGGAAAACAUUGCGAAUGACUCAUUCACCAGGAAAAGAGCAUACGCUAUUUGACUAAAGAGAGUAAGGGAGAGGCCGUAGAAAUAUUUCAUAAAGACUUAAGUAACACGUUUAAUAAUCAUUGUUUUUAUUCCUAACUACAGUGUAAAUUUAUUCAGGGCAGGGACUUUAAACUUCAUUCUAUUUCCAUUGUGCUGCAUUAUCACUUUUGAAUGAUUUUUAAAUAAAAUCCCAGCCCCAUCUUUGAGUAAUACUCUGAAA